GAUGCAGCAACGCCGCGUGAACGAUGAAGGUCUUCGGAUCGUAAAGUUCUGUUGCAGGGGAAGAUAAUGACGGUACCCUGUGAGGAAGCCCCGGCUAACUACGUGCCAGCAGCCGCGGUAAUACGUAGGGGGCUAGCGUUAUCCGGAUUUACUGGGCGUAAAGGGUGCGUAGGUGGUCCUUCAAGUCGGUGGUUAAAGGCUACGGCUCAACCGUAGUAAGCCGCCGAAACUGGAGGACUUGAGUGCAGGAGAGGAAAGUGGAAUUCCCAGUGUAGCGGUGAAAUGCGUAGAUAUUGGGAGGAACACCAGUAGCGAAGGCGGCUUUCUGGACUGCAACUGACACUGAGGCACGAAAGCGUGGGUAGCAAACAGGAUUAGAUACCCAGGUAGUCCACGCUGUAAACGAUGAGUACUAGGUGUCGGGGGUUACCCCCCUCGGUGCCGCAGCUAACGCAUUAAGUACUCCGCCUGGGGAGUACGCACGCAAGUGUGAAACUCAAAGGAAUUGACGGGGACCCGCACAAGUAGCGGAGCAUGUGGUUUAAUUCGAAGCAACGCGAAGAACCU
rnacentral:rRNA from 1 species